AUGCUCAGCAGCUGGAUCUGCAGUGUGAGUGAAGACACCCAGGAUGGCUCAGGGAUCCGGGGAUCAGAAAGCAGUGGGGAUCACGGACCCGGAGGAGAGUUCUCCAAAUAUGAUAGUCUACCGCAAAGAACCAAGACCCAGAGACGCCGCAGAGUGCUGGCUGGUUGCCAGGAACCCACGGAGAGUCGAGCUGCAGGAUGGACACAGGCGAGAACUCGGGGACCAGGGUGCGUUCACGUGUGUCAGGAACACACAGGUCCUGCCAUUUUCCCCCAGAAUCGCAUCCUCCCCUUUACUGAGGGGUCACAGACUUUAAACCAGUACUUUAUUGAAGAGAUUUUGUUUGCCUGGUUGUUUGUUUUUUUAAGUGAAAAAGAGCAUAUUGAGCUGUUGGAAGUGUUGGGCUGUGUGUUCUGA
rnacentral:lncRNA from 1 species